AAACCAAAGCACGCAAACAGUUGCAGCAGUUUACAUCCUCCUCUGGCGUUUUUCUAAUGGUACUACGAUACAUAGGUGAUUGUAUAAAAUAUACGCGUAAAGAUCACAAGCAAACACAGCGACGCGUUCAAAAAUCGUCCUGACGCACGUUCGCGCGGUAUCUGCCGCACAAAACGAUGAAAUGGAUCGUCGACGAUGCUCGCCUCUUCUCGUAUAUAUAAUAUAAUAAUAAUAAUAAUAAUAUAAUAUAAUGCGCCUUAUUAUUCUUUCGUGCGCGUAAAUAUAGAGUGCUGAUAUGGAAACCCGAGCUCGUAUAAUAAUAAUAAUAUUUAUAUAAUACACGUUCGCGCGUAGGUACGUAAUAUUUAUAAUAUCUUUGGCGCGUGUUUCACGGAGGUUACCUCUGUUACCUGCAGCAACAGCGGAGGCAGCAAGUGUAAAAGAGUCGCGGUGCAGUGUUUAUUACUAUAUUAUUAUUAUAUUACAUAAAACGUUGCGGGUGCAAAAACCCAUUAAGUCUCGAACGGCGCUAUAUAAUAUUAUGACAGUUUUUUUUUCUUUAGUUUCCGUGGUCGUCACCGGACACUUACCUAUACGUACAGGCAGGCCCCGAAUUCGUAUGUAUGUGUAUAAUAAUAUACAGGACAACCAGAAUCUUCAUGUCACAGUAAUUUUCUCAAGUACUGAGGUACACAAAAAUAAUGA